rnacentral:rRNA from 1 species
ACCUUGCGCUAUUGGAUGAGCCUAUGUCGAUUAGUUAGUUGGUGGGGUAAAGGCCUACCAAGGCGACGAUCCGUAGCUGGUCUUAGAGGAUGAUCAGCCACAUCGGGACUGAGACACGGCCCGAACUCCUACGGGAGGCAGCAGUGGGGAAUAUUGCACAAUGGGCGCAAGCCUGAUGCAGCUAUGCCGCGUGUGUGAAGAAGGCCUUAGGGUUGUAAAGCACUUUCAGUAGUGAGGAAAAGUGUUGUGUUAAUAGCGCAAUGCUGUGACGUUAGCUACAGAAGAAGGACCGGCAAACUCCGUG